AGAGUUUGAUCCUGGCUCAGGAUAAACGCUGGCGGCGUGCCUAAAACAUGCAAGUCGAACGGUCAUGCGCCUUCGGGCGUGUGGUAGUGGCGGACGGCUGAGUAACACGUGGGUGACCUGCCCUCGAGCGGGGGAUAACUGCCCGAAAGGGUGGCUAAUACCGCAGAUGUCGGUGAUUCGGUUCACUGACUGAACUUACGGGGUUCGGGGAGGGGCCCGCGGUCGAUUAGCUAGCUGGUGGGGUAAUGGCCUACCAGGGCUUCGAUCGAUAGCUGGUCUGAGAGGAUGAUCAGCCAGACUGGGACUGCGAACGGCCCAGACUCCUACGGGAGGCAGCAGUUAGGAAUUUUGGGCAAUGGGCGAAAGCCUGACCCAGCAACGCCGCGUGGGUGAUGAAGGCCCUCGGGUCGUAAAGCCCUUUUCCCAGGGACGAUGGUGACGGUACCUGGGGAAUCAGCCCCGGCUAACUACGUGCCAGCAGCCGCGGUAAUACGUAGGGGGCAAGCGUUGUCCGGAUUUAUUGGGCGUAAAGCGCUCGCAGGUGGUCCGAUACGUCGUGCGUGAAAGACCCCGGCUCAACUGGGGAGGGUCGUGCGAUACGGUCGGACUGGAGGCCAGUAGGGGGAUGCGGAAUUCCGGGUGUAGUGGUGGAAUGCGUAGAGAUCCGGAGGAACACCAGCGGCGAAGGCGGCAUCCUGGACUGGUCCUGACACUCAGGAGCGAAAGCGUGGGGAGCGAUCCGGAUUAGAUACCCUAGUAGUCC
rnacentral:rRNA from 1 species